rnacentral:tRNA from 1 species
CGGAUGUAGCUCAGUUGGUAGAGCAUCACCUUGCCAAGGUGAGGGUCGCGGGUUCGAAUCCCGUCAUCCG